rnacentral:tRNA from 1 species
UCGGCGCCGUAGCCGCGGGUGGCCUCGACCUUGGAUGUCGGGGUGUCCUCCGGCAUGACGAUCACCGCUGUGGUGCCGAGUUCACGGGCGGCCAG